UCGCUGGCUGGCUGGAGAAAGAGUGAGAUGGUUAGAAGGAAGCAGAACAACUGAGACCUAAGUGAACGCCGUGCUCCAAAUCCAAAUAACACUGAGGCUGAAAUCCCUUGGGGGAGUGUCUGAGCCAAACUGGAAGGGAUCCACCCAGCCUGCCUCCGUUCAGCAGAUCACCUUCUUCGGCGGGUCAGGGAAUUGAGAGACUUCUCUGUCCACAAAACUCCCACCCCACCCCGGCGGGGAAAAGCCCGUCUAAGCUGCCGAAAGAAGUAGAGUUGCGCCUUCUCCAGCAUCCACGGUUCCACCCAGAAGCAGGAGAAGAAGCCCCGAAGCAGCUGCGCACCUGAGGAAGACCCAGCCGCCGCCUUCUCCCCGAGGAGCCCCGAGCUAGAAAGGAGCCCCAGGUCUGCAAGCUGCAAUUGCUUCAUCUCUACAUUUCCUGGCAACCUCCACUAACUUUUGACCAGACUCAUCCACGUUGCCCACUAGAAUUGUUUCGGAAGUGUCACCAUGGUAGCCAUUGAAGUAUACCUAAGCACAUGCAGAAAUGCAAAAGAGACAUUUGUGUUUUGCAGCCAGGUGCCAGGACUUUCUUGGGUUUCUUUCACGAUGCGUUUAAGGUGCAAGUAAAAAAUAAAAUAA